rnacentral:rRNA from 1 species
UAGCCUUGACAUUGAAGAAACACACUAGAGAUAGAGUGGUGCCCUUCGGGGAAUCUGAAAACAGGUGCUGCACGGCUGUCGUCAGCUCGUGUCGUGAGAUGUUGGGUUAAGUCCCGCAACGAGCGCAACCCUCGUCCUUAGUUGCCAGCAGGUUAAGCUGGGCACUUUAAGGAGACUGCCUUCGCAAGAAGGAGGAAGGUGAGGACGACGUCAAGUCAUCAUGGCCCUUAUGGCUAGGGCUACACACGUGCUACAAUGGGGCGUACAGAGAGUUGCGAUACCGCGAGGUGGAGCCAAUCUCAUAAAGCGUCUCUCAGUUCGGAUUGAAGUCUGCAACUCGACUUCAUGAAGCUGGAAUCACUAGUAAUCGUAGAUCAGCAAUGCUACGGUGAAUACGUUCCCGGGUCU